UUUUAAUUUCUGUUUCUGGUUAUCUGAUAAAUAAACGUUAUACGGAAUGUAAGUUGUCAUUUAUAUACAGAAAAAUUCAUUAAUGUAUGUUAAGUUGCCUAGAAGUUAAAUCGUGAAUCAAGGUUUAUCAUGUGCUUUUCCUACUUAUUUUUAGUAGUUAUAUAAGCACCGUAUGAGAAUGACACAAAAAAUUAUUCAUUUUAAUCAAGUAAUUCAAAGUUAUGUGAAUGGGGCAAGUAAUUCCUGUAGAAGAAGUAAUUAUUAAUUGCAGAAAUGCUGCAAAAAGUUGACAAGUGUGUUAAUGGCUGUAUCUUACAAAAUUUAGUUUACAUUUUUAAAAAACUCAAGACUGAGAAGAGGACAUAUUCCAUAUGGUUUUUGAAACAAGACAUCCCCCUGACUUUAAGAGAAGAUUGCGAAAGUUUUAUAAUGAUUUUGUUAUGUAUCGUGUAAACUGCUAAAUUGUGGUUACAAUUUUUCAAGGUUUUUACUUAUUUCCGCAAUAUGCAGAUAAGUUAUCAAAACGGCAGAUUCUGCCGUUUUCUAUAAAUAAUUAAAUAUCGUAUGAUAAAAAUAUUGAAACUGUAUGAAAAGAAAUAGGAUUAAAAUCAGGAUUAUGUUCAGAUGGAUAACUUUCUUUAAAUUUAAUUUCAAGUAAGUCAUUUUCCUUAAAAGGUAUAUAUCCUACUGUAUUACUAUAUUCGUCACUAUUCCUACUCAUUAAUAAUUGUUCUACUUUAUUAAUAUAAAGUGAAAUUACACUACUAUAAUGCUUAUUGGAACUGUGAUAAUUAAUCUUUUUAAUUUUACCAUUUGAUUGUAAUCUGAAUACAUCAGGAUGUUUUGUAGAUUUAAAACUGUUAUAAUCAUAAUAUUCCAUUGAAAAUACAAAAGGAGAACCAGAA